GCCAACCCGGCCGGCAGUCUGGGGCCUUAGUGUGACAGACAUACAACAACCUUGGACUGUAGGGUCCUGCCAGCCACCUGGAGGACGUCAGGGAGAGACUUGGGGCCCUACCCGGUGUCAACGGAAGGACUUGCCGGCAGGCGGGUCAUCACCACCAUCACAGCGGGACACCUCGGCUACCUGUCAGGACUGAGUUUCAAAAGGCUUGACCCACAAAGACUCUGCACAGGAAACUCUGAAGAGCCUGCCAACAACACCCUGAGAGAGAGCAAUUAGAAGCAUCCCCGCAGGGAGCCAGGCCCGGGUCCUAUGGCCUUCUCCUUUCCCACUCUGAGGGUCUAACCCUCGAGGAGCCUGAAAGAAAAUGGAGAAGGAGAAAGAAGAGGAUGCUGAAUCCCUUCUCUGCAGCAGAUAUGAACAGGCUGUGGCCAGGGCAGCAAAAGAAGUCUUGAUUUUCAGUGUGUAUUGAAACAAUAACUAUGUUGCCCUGGAAUUUUA